rnacentral:rRNA from 1 species
ACAUGCAAGUCGAGGGGCAGCAUAUCGAAGCUUGCUUGAUAGAUGGCGACCGGCGCACGGGUGCGUAACACGUAUCCAAUCUACCCAUGGCUCAGGGAUAGCCUUUCGAAAGAAAGAUUAAUACCUGAUGGUUUCAUGAUUCCGCAUGGACUUAUGAAUAAAAAUUUAUCGGCGAUGGAUGAGGAUGCGUCCGAUUAGCUUGUUGGCGGGGUAACGGCCCACCAAGGCGACGAUCGGUAGGGGCUCCGAGAGGAGGAUCCCCCACAUUGGAACUGAGACACGGUCCAAACUCCUACGGGAGGCAGCAGUGAGGAAUAUUGGUCAAUGGGCGAGAGCCUGAACCAGCCAAGUAGCCGUGCAGGAUGACGGCCCUAUGGGUUGUAAACUGCUUUUGUAUGGGAAUAAAGUGAGGGACGUGUCCCUUUUUGUAUGUACCAUAAGAAUAAGGACCGGCUAAUUCCGUGCCAGCCGCCGC